rnacentral:tRNA from 1 species
GAGGGCUUAGCUUAAUUAAAGUGAUUGAGUUGCAUUCAGUUGAUGCAAGAUAAAGUCUUGUAGUCCUUA